UACAGGGGGGUGCAAACGUUGCUCGGAAUCAUUGGGCGUAAAGCGCACGUAGGCGGUUCGUUAUGUCGGAUGUGAAAGCCCUUGGCUUAACCGAGGAAGUGCAUCCGAAACUGGCGAGCUAGAGUACUAAAGAGGAUCGCGGAAUUCCCGGUGUAGAGGUGAAAUUCGUAGAUAUCGGGAGGAACACCGGUGGCGAAGGCGGUGAUCUGGGUAGAUACUGACGCUGAGGUGCGAAAGCGUGGGGAGCAAACAGGG
rnacentral:rRNA from 1 species